rnacentral:rRNA from 1 species
CCAAUAGCGUAUAUUAAAGUUGUUGCAGUUAAAAAGCUCGUAGUUGAAUUUCGGGGUCAGUAGGCUGGUCAUGCCACUGGUAUGUACUGGUCUCACUGAUUCCUCCUUCCUGAUGAACUGUAAUGCCAUUAAUUUGGUGUUGCAGGGAAUCUGGACUGUUACUUUGAAAAAAUUAGAGUGUUUAAAGCAGGCUAACGCCUGAAUACAUUAGCAUGGAAUAAUGAAAUAGGACGUUCGAUCCUAUUUUGUUGGUUUCUAGGAUUAACGUAAUGAUUAAUAGGGAUAGUUGGGGGCAUUAGUAUUAAAUUGUCAGAGGUGAAAUUCUUGGAUUUAUUGAAGACUAACUACUGCGAAAGCAUUUGCCAAGGAUGUUUUCAUUAAUCGAGAACGAAAGUUAGGGGAUCGAAGACGAUCAGAUACCGUCGUAGUCUUAACCAUAAACUAUGCCGACUAGGGAUCGGAUGAUGUUAAUUUUUUAAUGACUCAUUCGGCGCCUUACG